GUAGUUGACAGAAGAGAGUGAGCACACACAGGCAGCAAUUGUAUAAAAUCAUACCCUUGGGCGGUGCGUGCUCACCUCUCUCUCUGUCAGCUGC
rnacentral:pre_miRNA from 1 species